UAAGAACAUACUAGAACUAUUUUAGGU
rnacentral:piRNA from 1 species